GAUCAUGGCUCAGGAUGAACGCUGGCGGCGUGCCUAACACAUGCAAGUCGAACGAGAGAGGAAGGUGCUUGCACCAUCCAAUCGAGUGGCGGACGGGUGAGUAACGCGUGGGUAACCUGCCUCAUACAGGGGGAUAACAACUGGAAACGGUUGAUAAUACCGCAUAAGCGCACAGCAUCGCAUGAUGCAGUGUGAAAAACUCCGGUGGUAUGAGAUGGACCCGCGUCUGAUUAGCCAGUUGGCGGGGUAACGGCCCACCAAAGCGACGAUCAGUAGCCGGCCUGAGAGGGUGAACGGCCACAUUGGGACUGAGACACGGCCCAAACUCCUACGGGAGGCAGCAGUGGGGAAUAUUGCACAAUGGGGGAAACCCUGAUGCAAGCGACGCCGCGUGAGCGAAGAAGUAUUUCGGUAUGUAAAGCUCUAUCAGCAGGGAAGAAAAUGACGGUACCUGACUAAGAAGCCCCGGCUAACUACGUGCCAGCCGCUGC
rnacentral:rRNA from 1 species